rnacentral:rRNA from 1 species
CUUCCGUAGUGACCUGCGGAUGGGGCAUUCCCCCCCCAUAAUACUUUCCACGUGAACCGUAUCAACCCUUUUAGUUGGGGGUCUUGUUUGGCGGCGGCUGCUGGCCCUAAUUGUUGGCGGCUGCUGCUGAGUGAACCCUAUCAUAAAAAAGGCGAAUGUUUGGACUUCGGUCUGGGCGAGUAGCCUUUUUUUGUUUUAAACCCAUUUCUCAAUACUGAUUAUACUGCGGGGACGAAAGUCUCUGCUUUUAACUAGAUAGCAACUUUCAGCAGUGGAUGUCUAGGCUCGCACAUCGAUGAAGAACGCUGCGAACUGCGAUACGUAAUGCGAAUUGCAGGAUUCAGUGAGUCAUCGAAAUUUUGAACGCAUAUUGCACUUCCGGGUUAGUCCUGGGAGUAUGCCUGUAUCAGUGUCCGUACAUCAAACUUGGCUUUCUUCCUUCCGUGUAGUCGGUGGAGGAUGUGCCAGAUGUGAAGUGUCUUGCGGUUUGUCCUUCGGGUCGGCUGCGAGUCCUUUUAUAUGUACUGAACUGUACUUCUCUUUGCUCGAAAAGCGGUGGUGUUGCUGGUUGUGGAGGCUGCCUGCGUGGCCAGUCGGCGACCGGUUUGUCUGCUGCGGCGUUUAAUGGAGGAGUGUCCGAUUCGCGGUAUGGUUGGCUUCGGCUGAACAGUGCGCUUAUUGUAUGCUUUUCCUGCUGUGGCGUGAUGGGCUGGUGAACCGUAGCUGUGUGUGGCUUGGCUUUUGAAUCGGCUUUGCUGUUGCGAAGUAGAGUGGCGGCUUCGGCUGUCGAGGGUCGAUCCAUUUUGGGAACUUUGUGUGCACUUCGGUGCGCAUCUCAAUUGGACCUGAUAUCAGUCAAGAUACCCCAUUUUUCCAU